rnacentral:rRNA from 1 species
AUGAUGGUUCCUCAGGUGAGAUCGGCGGUGCGGCGCGGCCUACGCGGCCGCACAGGCCCAACGUUAUCGGGCUGCCGGGCUGCCAGUUUGCCACCUCAAGCCGCGACAUGCAGCUCCCUCUGCUCUGGAAUCGCCGCAUGCGCGCCACCAGCCACCCCGCAGCUGACGUGCCGCGAGGCGAGAGGACGCCGCUCGCAUCCGGCAAGAAACCAAACUGCACCGCCGCCGUUCCGAGCAAUCAGCGCCUACAAAUCCACCACACACAAGAGCUCACACAGGCAAGACAGACACCGAAGUAUCCACACGACCAGACACCAGCACGCGACACAAGAGGCCUUUGGAGGAGCGAUACACUACACGUACACGAUGCAGACGGCGAAGGUGAAGGACAUGGUGAGCUCGGCCAAGGAGAAGGCGCAGGAGGGAUCGGCCGAGGUGCAGGGCAAGGCGGGCAAGGCCGCGGCGACCACGCACGGCGAGAAGGAGAUGGCCAAGGAGGAGGAGCGCGCGCGCAAGGCCCAGGCCGACGCGCAGAAGCACCAGGAGAAGGCCGACGCGGCAGCGGGACGCCACGGCGCGGCCGGGACGCGCGGCCACUACGGCCCCGUGGGCACCCCCGUGGCCCCCGACCCCGCGUACCCGGCCAGCGGCUGGCACCCGGCGGCGGAGAAGUACAUCUAG